AGCGAACGCUGGCGGCAGGCCUAACACAUGCGAGUCGAACGAACCUUUCGGGGUUAGUGGCGGACGGGUGAGUAACACGUGGGAACGUGCCUUUAGGUUCGGAAUAACUCAGGGAAACUUGUGCUAAUACCGAAUGUGCCCUUCGGGGGAAAGAUUUAUCGCCUUUAGAGCGGCCCGCGUCUGAUUAGCUAGUUGGUUGAGGUAAUGGCUCACCAAAGCGACGAUCAGUAGCUGGUCUGAGAGGAUGAUCAGCCACAUUGGGACUGAGACACGGCCCAAACUCCUACGGGAGGCAGCAGUGGGGAAUCUUGCGCAAUGGGCGAAAGCCUGACGCAGCCAUGCCGCGUGAAUGAUGAAGGUCUUAGGAUUGUAAAAUUCUUUCACCGGGGACGAUAAUGACGGUACCCGGAGAAGAAGCCCCGGCUAACUUCGUG
rnacentral:rRNA from 1 species